rnacentral:rRNA from 1 species
UGGGGGAUAUUGCACAAUGGAGGAAACUCUGAUGCAGCGAUGCCGCGUGAGGGAAGAAGGUUUUCGGAUUGUAAACCUCUGUGGAGCGGGACGAUAAUGACGGUACCGCUCAAGGAAGCCACGGCUAACUACGUGCCAGCAGCCGCGGUAAUACGUAGGUGGCGAGCGUUGUCCGGAAUUACUGGGUGUAAAGGGAGUGUAGGCGGGAAUGCAAGUCAGAAGUGAAAACUAUGGGCUUAACCCAUAGCCUGCUUUUGAAACUGUAUUUCUUGAGUGAAGCAGAGGCAAGCGGAAUUCCUAGUGUAGCGGUGAAAUGCGUAGAUAUUAGGAGGAACACCAGUGGCGAAGGCGGCUUGCUGGGCUUUUACUGACGCUGAGGCUCGAAAGCGUGGGGAGCAAACAGG